rnacentral:rRNA from 1 species
CAGCCUGAUGCAGCAACGCCGCGUGAGGGAUGACGGCCUUCGGGUUGUAAACCUCUUUUAGCAGGGAAGAAGCGAAAGUGACGGUACCUGCAGAAAAAGCGCCGGCUAACUACGUGCCAGCAGCCGCGGUAAUACGUAGGGCGCAAGCGUUAUCCGGAAUUAUUGGGCGUAAAGAGCUCGUAGGCGGUUUGUCGCGUCUGCUGUGAAAUCCGGAGGCUCAACCUCCGGCCUGCAGUGGGUACGGGCAGACUAGAGUGCGGUAGGGGAGAUUGGAAUUCCUGGUGUAGCGGUGGAAUGCGCAGAUAUCAGGAGGAACACCGAUGGCGAAGGCAGAUCUCUGGGCCGUAACUGACGCUGAGGAGCGAAAGGGUGGGGAGCAAACAGGCUUAGAUACCCUGGUAGUCCACCCCGUAAACGUUGGGAACUAGUUGUGGGGUCCAUUCCACGGAUUCCGUGACGCAGCUAACGCAUUAAGUUCCCCGCCUGGGGAGUACGGCCGCAAGGCUAAAACUCAAAGGAAUUGACGGGGACCCGCACAAGCGGCGGAGCAUGCGGAUUAAUUCGAUGCAACGCGAAGAACCUUACCAAGGCUUGACAUAUACGAGAACGGGCCAGAAAUGGUCAACUCUUUGGACACUCGUAAACAGGUGGUGCAUGGUUGUCGUCAGCUCGUGUCGUGAGAUGUUGGGUUAAGUCCCGCAACGAGCGCAACCCUCGUUCUAUGUUGCCAGCACGUAAUGGUGGGAACUCAUGGGAUACUGCCGGGGUCAACUCGGAGGAAGGUGGGGAUGACGUCAAAUCAUCAUGCCCCUUAUGUCUU